GCGACCGUGGUGAAAUUGGUAGACACGCCAUCUUGAGGGGGUGGUGCGCUCAGCGUGUACGAGUUCAAAUCUCGUCGGUCGCACCA
rnacentral:tRNA from 2 species